rnacentral:rRNA from 1 species
UACGUAGGGGGCAAGCGUUGUCCGGAUUUAUUGGGCGUAAAGAGCGUGUAGGCGGCCAGGUAGGUCAGCUGUGAAAACUCGAGGCUCAACCUCGAGACGCCGGUUGAAACCAUCUGGCUAGAGUCCGGAAGAGGAGAGUGGAAUUCCUGGUGUAGCGGUGAAAUGCGCAGAUAUCAGGAAGAACACCCGUGGCUAAGGCGGCUCUGUAGUACGGUACUGACGCUGAGACGCGAAAGCGUGGGGAGCGAACAGG